AUUCGUCUGCCCGAUGCGCGGACUGUGCACAUAUAACCCUACACUCGAAUAAAAGGGAGUCCCCCUCCGCCUGCGGAUAGCAGACCUCCCGGCCCGGCUUUGACCGUGGUUGGACGAAGGGAGCAUGAACCAUGCGGGAGGACACCCACCUGACUCUUUGUAGGCAGGUUAUUGAGUUGCACGAUACGGUCGGGCGGGCAAGCU
rnacentral:other from 1 species